rnacentral:rRNA from 1 species
AUUGAACGCUGGCGGCAGGCCUAACACAUGCAAGUCGAGCGGCAGCGGGAAAGUAGCUUGCUACUUUUGCCGGCGAGCGGCGGACGGGGGAGUAAUGCCUGGGAAAUUGCCCAGUCGAGGGGGAUAACAGUUGGAAACGACUGCUAAUACCGCAUACGCCCUACGGGGGAAAGCAGGGGACCUUCGGGCCUUGCGCGAUUGGAUAUGCCCAGGUGGGAUUAGCUAGUUGGUGAGGUAAUGGCUCACCAAGGCGACGAUCCCUAGCUGGUCUGAGGGGAGGAUCAACCACACGGGAACUGAGACUAGGGCGAGACUCGUCGGGGGGGCAGCAGUGGGGAAUAUUGCAGAAUGGGGGAAACCCUGAUGCAGCCAUGCGGUGUGUGUGAAGAAGGCCUUCGGGUUGUAGAGCACUUUCAGCGUGGAGGAAAAGUUGAUGCCUAAUACGUAUCAACUGUGACGUUACUCGCAGAAGAAGCACCGGCUAACUCCGUGCCAGCCGCCGCCGUAA